rnacentral:lncRNA from 1 species
AACCCCAAGCCCAGCUCGCACUCCAGCUGGAAGUGGGGAUCAGCACUGCGCGUGACGGUGGGAGGCGGGGAGACGGACAGUCACCCCCAGAGACACAAGGUCCCUCCCGGGUCACCUGGGGAUGCGUCCGCCGGGCCUGAAUCGAACACGCCCACGCUCGAGAUGGGGACCGCCCAGGCAGGGCUGGAUUCCUCGAAAAGGGCCGCCACGCCCCGGCCCCCCCAGCCACGUGAACCCCACAAAGUGCUGAGUAACGGUGACCGGGAAGUAUCUCGGGACUGAUUGGGCCUGGCCACCUUAUACAGCAUUUACAAUGGCACAG